CCUCUCCUGUGAUGUUCUGUUGGACUCAUUUUCAUACCUUAUACCUUAUACUUCUCUACCACUCUACCACCCUCGCAGCAUCAUUAAUAAUAUGAAGGUACUUAUCACAAAUAAAUAAAAUUAUCAUUUUCUUUACACAAUGAUUUUUUCUGUUUUCUAUAUGUAUGUAUACAUACAAACAAAUAUGUAUUAACUUAUUCAAUACCAUGUCUAUCUUAUCUUAAUUUUUUUAAAACUUCUAUAAUUUUUUUAAAACUUAUAUACAAGUAGGAUGUAGAUCAUACGUUCCUAUUCAUGUAUCAUUUAGUGUUUUAUGCUAAUUAGAAAUCUUCAUUCAUUUAAAAGCAAAAACAAAAAUUAAUAUUUUAAUAUUAUUUUAUGAAGUUUGAUUGAUUAAGAAGAUAGAGACUAAAAAACCUAGGAUAGAGAAUCCUUAUGGUUGAUAGCUUUACACUUGAGCGAGCCACUUGAUGUCAGUUCUAAAUUUUUUGUUUACCCACAUUUAUUCUCUUAUUGUUAUUCAAGUUAAAAACAUCUACAAUAUUAGGAGUGAACAAGAUCUGAUUUUAUCCGCUCACCUGAUUUGACUCGGUCAUGAUCGGACCUAAAUAGAGUUGAGUCUCAAUGGGUCUAAGUCUAAGGUCGGGUUCGAGUACAAAAAUAAGACAUAGUCAAUAUUUAGGGUUAGAUAGGGACAAACAUAGAUCUGACCCUCAACUCGUCUCAUGAUCACUCAUUUAUCAUAUUUGUAUGUGUCUUUAUUCAAUUGUGUAUAAAAUAAUGACAUUUAUUUGGUC